CGCCCCCGAGGCCGCCUGCGCGGUAGCCUCCCGGGCUGCCGCCGCGCUUUCCCCGAGUGCAGGCUUUGUUGGUCUUUCUUUACGAAAACGCACAUCCUGGAAGGAGGAUAGACUGCAGCAGAACUGAGUUCUGUUAGACGCAGUCAUCGGAGGUUUUGCAAUGCACCGAGAGCCGUGCAACUACAUUUGAAGAUAUAAUGAAGAAGCCAGAUGCUUGAAUAUGCAUUUGAAUAAGUGGGGAUUUAAUAGAAGACAAAGUUCCAUUAAAUGUUACAGACACUCUGUGUAUCUGACUUUUGGGAAGAAAAGGCUGAAUAAGUGUAUUCCCAGGACACUGGAUCAUAAUCUGACAAUAAGGAGAAAUUCCAACCUGGAGGAUUUGACCACAGAGGAAAGAACGUCCUGAGAGUUCUCUUUCAGAAAGAAUGAAGGGAUGUCCCCGGGGCCAAGAAUCAAAAGUUAUGUUCUUGAACUCCACCCUCUCUGGCUGUCAUGCUCCUUGUCAGUGACAUGGAAUUUACUUCACCAUGCUCUUGUAGUACUAUAGGAAGGGGAGAGGGCUUUCCAGAGAAGAGAAAGCCUCCUCUCCUUCUAAUCUUCAAUGGAUAGCUGAAAGAUACUGUACAAUUUCAGGAACUUUUCCCAUAAAACCGCACUGACUUUCAGGAAAUUAGCUCUCCUGUCACUAGCUAGUGGGAACCUCAGUUCACCACUCACUGGUGUGUAAGAAACACUAUGUUUUUAAUUUUCCCUAAAUCCAGUUCUAAAUCUCUGUUAGUUUCCUAGGGCUGCCAUAAUGAAGUGCCACAGACUGGGUGGCUUAUACAAUAGAAAUGUCUCACAGUUCUGGAGUUCAUAGUGUUCUCCCCAUGUGCCUAUUUCUGUGUCCAAAUUUCCCUUCUUAUAAGGACACAGUCAUAUAGGGCCCACCCUAGUGACUUCAUUUUGACUUGUGACUUAACUUUUUUAACUUCAUAACUUCAUAAAGACUUCAUUUCCAAAUAAGGUCACAUUCUGUAAUACUAGAGGUUAGGACUUCAAAAUAUCUUUUUUCGAGGGGACACAAUUCAACCCAUAGCAAUUUCCAUCCUGCCAAGUUAGCAGGAAACCCAAUCUUGACUAACAUUAGCUUCCUCUCCACCAUACCCACAUACUCUCCAGCCCAGAACUGAGCUUCUGAUGUUUUUGGCCAACCCUAAGCACCUGGGAGAUCCCCCUGUCUUUCAUCGUUCCUGCUUGCUACUGAGUGCCCAAGCUUGCAUGGUGUCUCCGAGUCAGAAGCUAACCAGCCGUGCUCUGCUUGAAGGCCCAAAACUCUUUGUCAUCACUGGCAAUUCCAGUGUCCAGGGAGUCGGCUGGGCAACCUGGCACCCUCCAUAGGCAUCCUUUCUGAAUACUGGCACUUCACCAGGGACCUGGGGUCUUGCUAGUCUUGACCCCAUCAACCUCUUUCCUUGUACUUCUUAAAGCCCCUAAAGAUCUCCUCAGGUGGUCCCAGAAGAAACAGAGCCAUGACAUUAAGCAGAUUUAUCUUCAGACCUUCCCUGAGGAGAGGUCACUCAGAGCCUUGCUUACUUACAUGAAAUGGAGAGAGGGGGAAAAACAUUAGAUGAAUGACAAAGCUUGUAUAUCAGUGGAUUGUCCUGCCAUGCUUCUAACUGUAUACCCAACAAAUAAGCCAUAGGCCAAUUCGCCAAGAGAAACCUAGCUGGCUGGGAACCUCAGCCCUGAACAUGGUCUCCCACUUCUCUUCCACACUCAGUUCCAAGAUGCUUGCCUACCUGAGCAGGUGUUGCUGGAACCUGCAGGUGGCUAAUUGUGAGUGAGUUUUGCUGGGGUCUCCAAAGUCAGAGUCACCUACUGGGAAUUGGACACAGAGGGCAGAGCUAGAACCAGAAGGGGACAGUUUAAGAAGAAGUUGAGGGGUCUGUAGUCUCUCCUGAAGAAGAAAAAAGUGACCGUAUGCUUGGGCAGGGGCACUGUGGUAUAAGAAAUAUAUUUGGUCUUUGUCUCCAGUUCCUGUCACAGAGCUCCUAAAACCUGGGAAUUUCCUGAGUGACAGGGAUGGCUUUUGUUAUAAAGAGCUCCUUCAUAAAGAGCUUCUUGUGGUCUCACCUGAGUUUAUGCUAAUGAGGUAACUUAAAAUGGAGUUCCUAGAUAGCCUAAGGAUGUUUUUGGUCCUAGAAAGACCGAGGAGGAUGGGCUCCAUCACCAGAAAAAACUAGUGGUUAGAGGGUUGGAACUUCCAGCCCCACCUACCAGCCACCCGGAAGGGUAGUAGGGCCUGGAGAUUAAGCUCUGUAAAAACUCUUGAUGGGAGAGAUUUGAUGAGCUUCCGGAUUGGUGAACACCCAGAGAGGCCAUGGGAGCUCUGCACCCCAGCCCCCAUACCUUGCUCUGUGCAUCUCCUCCAUCUGGCUGUUCCCGAGUUUCAUCCUUUAUAAUAAACCUGGUAAAAGAAGUGUCUCCCUGAGUUCUGUGAGCAGUUCUAGCAAAUUAUUCAAUCUGAGGAGGGGGCUGUGGGAACCCCUGAUUCAUAGCUGGUCAGUCCGAAGCAUGGGUGGCCUAGGACUUGAGACUGGUGUCUGAAGUGGGGCAGUCUUGAGACUGAGCCCUCAGAUCUGUAGAAUCUGACGCUAACUCCAGGUUGUCGGUCGUCAGACUUGAAUUCAAUCGUAGGGCACUCAUGUGGCAUCCGGAGAGUUGGAAAAAUCAUUGGUAUGGAAAAAACCUAGGCAUGUGUUGUCAGAGUGUUCUGGGUAAAAAUAGUCCAGGCUCACCCUGACCCCAAAAGGCCAAGAGGAGCAGACUGGUGGAUUGAGGUAUCCCUGUGCUUGAGAUAGAAUUGUGUGGAGGACAGAGAGGGUCCCUCUGGGGCCCCUAAGGCUCUGAUAGCCCUUGUCACUUAGGUCCACAGGGACAGAGACUCCUUUUUUCUUUCACUGUGUGUGAGAUUCCUGGCACUAAGGAAAGUCCACAGAGAAUGGUAGCUCCAUAUGAGGCAGCCCAGCAGCUGACAGGAUAGAAGGCAGAACCACACCACAAGAAUACUUUGUAGGGACACAGCUCGGCUCAAGGAGGCCAAGAGCACCAAAUCAGAAGUAGUAAGUGCCCUUAAGGACGGGCACUUGCAGCACACUUGUACAUGUGUGUGUGCGCACACACACGGAGCUUAACGCACAUGCGUCUCAAAAGUUUAAAAUGCAGCAGAUGAAUCAAAAGAAAUUGUAGUCAUUGUGAGAUUGGAAUUAGUGCCCUGGAAGAUUAAGCACAAGAACUGUCUCAUUAACCAAUUUGCUGGAUUCAAAACACCCCAGAUCUGCUGUAUUUCUCUGUGCCCACAGGAGUAACUAGAAAAUAUAUUUUUUUAACGGUGGCUUUUACAACUACGUCAAGAGAACAUCAGAUACCUGGGAAGAAAUCUAACAAAGGAUGUUCAAGGCUUCUGCAGUGAGAACUAUAACACAUCACUGAAAAAAAUUAAAGGAGACCUGAGCAAAUGGAUGGAUCUGCAAAGUUCAUGGAAAGGAGACCUCAAUAUUGUUAAAAUGUCAUUUAUUUGAAAUUGUUUUAUAGAUCUGAAGUAAUCUCAAUUAAGAUACCAAGAUUUUUAUGUAAUUGGCAAGCUGAUUCUAAACAUUCAUUGGGAAAUCCUCCCCUUAACAGUACAUAAGAGUUUUAAUUAUUCCAAAAUCUCAUCAACCCUUGGCAUUGUCUGUCUUUUGAUUUUAUUUUGUUUUAUUUAAUUUUAUUUUAUAUUACAGGGAUAUUUAUCAUUUUGUAUGGGAAUUCCUAAGGGGAGUAAAUCUGUGGGAAAUCCCUCCAGGGGUGGAUGGAGAGGGUACCCAUCCUGAGUGGGCAUUGUUUCUCUUUGUUUCUGCAGUCGGACAAUGGUGGAGUUCAGGGUGAGCUGUCCAAGAGACUGUGUGUCACACAGCAAGUGAGAAAUUUGAGGUGAGGGGUUGGGAGUCCUGAGUGGAUCAAAGUUCACUUCUUGAGCAUUGUCACCAAGAUCUAUCCAGGUGGAAAAGCAGCUGAAAUCAGAACACUCCUCAACAUGACCUCACCACAGAGCCACAAAAAUGGCCUGCCAAGAGCAGAGAAGAUGAGGAUAGAAAGCGAUUCACUGAAUCAGCAGCUCCAGAGAGGUCAGAAAGAGAUGGAAUCGGCCCUGCACGUUUGGCAAAGAGAAGGGAAUGGAGAGGGCCCCUUCCCUGUCCUGGCUUAGCUUCCUAUUCCAGACACAACAUUCUGUGCUCCCUUCAAGUCAAUAACCUCUCCAAGAUGUGGCUGUUCUCGACCCACUGCACUUCUGCAUGACCUGUCAGAGCCUGGAAGGAUGUGUGGGACCCACCUGUUCUGCAAAAGUGCCCAGUGCCUGAAUUGCGGGUCAAGCCCCACGGAAGUGGGGUCCCAGGAGAGGUUGAGGCAGCAUUCGUUUGACUUACAAGGUCUUUGAUUGCCACGAGCUCAACGAGACAGGGGUCACAAACUAUCACACCUGUUGGAGUCAGGCAGCGAAUGUAAAUGAGUGAAGCCGACCCGGUGUGAGACGACGGUGCAAGAAAUUGUGGUGAAUUGGAGAAUCAAGGUCCCUAUAAACGCAGCACCUGCUACUCAGCGUCAAC